rnacentral:rRNA from 1 species
AGUGAAAUAGAACCUGAAACCCUGCACUUACAAGCUGUGGAAGCACAUUUCUUGUGUGACCGCGUACUUUUUGUAGAACGGGCCAACGAGUUACGUUAAGUAGCAAGGUUAAGCACUUAAGGUGUGGAGCCGUAGCGAAAGCGAGUUUUAACUGAGCGUUCAGUUACUUGACGUAGACCCGAAACCGGGCGACCUACCCAUG